AUGAACGCUAGCUACAGGCUUAACACAUGCAAGUCGAGGGGCAGCAUGGUCUUAGCUUGCUAAGGCCGAUGGCGACCGGCGCACGGGUGAGUAACACGUAUCCAACCUGCCGUCUACUCUUGGACAGCCUUCUGAAAGGAAGAUUAAUACAAGAUGGCAUCAUGAGUCCACAUGUUCACAUGAUUAAAGGUAUUCCGGUAGACGAUGGGGAUGCGUUCCAUUAGAUAGUAGGCGGGGUAACGGCCCACCUAGUCUUCGAUGGAUAGGGGUUCUGAGAGGAAGGUCCCCCACAUUGGAACUGAGACACGGUCCAAACUCCUACGGGAGGCAGCAGUGAGGAAUAUUGGUCAAUGGGCGAGAGCCUGAACCAGCCAAGUAGCGUGAAGGAUGACUGCCCUAUGGGUUGUAAACUUCUUUUGUAAAGGAAUAAAGUCGGGUAUGGAUACCCGUUUGCAUGUACUUUAUGAAUAAGGAUCGGCUAACUCCGUGCCAGCAGCCGCGGUAAUACGGAGGAUCCGAGCGUUAUCCGGAUUUAUUGGGUUUAAAGGGAGCGUAGAUGGAUGUUUAAGUCAGUUGUGAAAGUUUGCGGCUCAACCGUAAAAUUGCAGUUGAUACUGGAUAUCUUGAGUGCAGUUGAGGCAGGCGGAAUUCGUGGUGUAGCGGUGAAAUGCUUAGAUAUCACGAAGAACUCCGAUUGCGAAGGCAGCCUGCUAAGCUGCAACUGACAUUGAGGCUCGAAAGUGUGGGUAUCAAACAGGAUUAGAUACCCUGGUAGUCCACACGGUAAACGAUGAAUACUCGCUGUUUGCGAUAUACGGCAAGCGGCCAAGCGAAAGCGUUAAGUAUUCCACCUGGGGAGUACGCCGGCAACGGUGAAACUCAAAGGAAUUGACGGGGGCCCGCACAAGCGGUGGAGCAUGUGGUUUAAUUCGAAGCAACGCGAAGAACCUUACCAGGUCUUGACAUCGAUCUAAAGGCUCCAGAGAUGGAGAGAUAGCUAUAGAGAAGACAGGUGGUGCAUGGUUGUCGUCAGCUCGUGUCGUGAGAUGUUGGGUUAAGUCCCGCAACGAGCGCAACCCCUGUCGCCAGUUACCAUCAUUAAGUUGGGGACUCUGGCGAGACUGCCUCUGCAAGGAGGAGGAAGGCGGGGAUGACGUCAAAUCAUCAUGCCCCUUAUGACCUGGGCUACACACGUGCUACAAUGGCGUAAACAAAGGGAAGCAGAGCCGCGAGGCCGAGCAAAUCUCAAAAAUAACGUCUCAGUUCGGAUUGUAGUCUGCAACUCGACUACAUGAAGCUGGAAUCGCUAGUAAUCGCGAAUCAGAAUGUCGCGGUGAAUACGUUCCCGGGCCUUGUACACACCGCCCGUCACACCAUGAGAGUCGGGGGGACCCGAAGUCGGUAGUCUAACCUCAAGGAGGACGCCGCCCAAGGUAAAACUGAUGAUUGGGGUG
rnacentral:rRNA from 1 species